GCAAAGUAUGCUUCAUUUAUUUCAGGAAAAUACAUAUGCCUCGCAGGCAAACAACCACUCUGAAAUAUUUUCACUGCCAACAGUGAUUGUAUCUCUAAAUGAAGGUUGUAUUUAUAAUAGAUCUGUAUGCUCAGGUAUUGAGGCAUUUCAGUGGUUGGUAUUACAGAAAGUUCUCAAUGUGUGAUGGUGAUGCAGAAGCUGGAAAGGAUUGAAAUGAUGAGAAUUCGCUUUCUUUCUGCUAACUGAGCUGGUAACCUUGGAAGAAUGGCUUUGUCUUCCUGCAGGUCUGAAGGCACUGGGAAUUCUGAUAGAUGCUGUGAGCCAGGGCAGCAAAGCUGCUCAGGUCACCAUGGGAGUGUCUGGGUAUUUCUGAUAAUGUUUACAUGUAUUUAUUUAUAAGUCAUUAUUAAAGUGGCUGCAGAAGCUAAUUGAGGGCAGGCGUUCCCAUCUUCUCAUGUUAACAACUAGCAUGGAAUAACAGGAUAAAAGGAGGUUCUUUUUGAGUUUUAAUUUGGUUCCUCUUUCAAUACCUUGAAAGUUAACACAUGGAAGCGAUUGGCUGCAUUGUUUCACAGCAACUGCUGAAGCCUUUCAGUAACUUCAAACUGAACAGCUAGAGAAAGUUGUGGGACUAUCACCACUUGGUGUGACGUGCAGUUGAUGGGGUUUUUGUUGUUGUUGUUGUUCAGGGGCAUAAGAAGAACUGUCAGAGGGAAAUCUGGUAACACAGACCAUAGGUAUAAUAACAUAUCCAAAAGCACUCGUUGGAAACGAACGCUGAGCUUUGGAAGACCCAAACAAAAUGACACAAAAAUCUCUUCACUUUCUCUCUUGUAACUUUGUCCUUUUUUAAGUUCUGAAUUUUAAAUCAUUGUAUUUAGUGAUUGCGUUGGGUAUAACACAGGGAUUUUGGGAUCUGUUGACCCACUGGGUAUGGAAUGUGGAGCACAUAGUAAUACACAGCCUAUGUGUUCAUAGGGCUUGUGCUGUUCAACCCACAUCAUUGCUGUUUCAAUAGCAUUGCAUCCUGCUUCCUAACUAAGCAGAAAUCCAAGGAAGUUGGGUUGUUUCACUCAGUGGUGCUGAGUGUGCAGUUUCUCAGCUCUAGGGGCUGAGGUUUGUAUCUUCUGGUGUUAGAGUCAGUCCUACUGGGGUAACUUGAUGUAUGGCUUUGUUCAUGACUUUGGACACCUCUUUUUUUUGUUCAGCAGAGCUUCCCUGGAGGCACAGCCAGUAUCCCCAUCACUGAUACUAUUUCCUUUGGAACAUUCAGUAAUAAGAAGUUGGGCUGGAACAGGAACAGAUUGGACCCAAUAACCCAGUUUGACAACUAAAGGGAUAGAGGUCCUAAAGAUAUGACUAAAAAGGGCAAGAGAGCAGAAAUAUGAAGUGUAAGGAGGAAAAUGUGGGUCCACAGGAUACAAACAUGUAUUGAAUCAGUUUCCUUCAUUCUUACAGAGUGGGGAACUCAAAAUUGAGGGGAAUGUGGUGGAAUUAGGCUCAAGGAUUGGUUCAAGUGCCAAAGGACCCUGCAGAAGAUCAAGUAUUCAGAAGAACAGCCAUUUUCUAGCUGGGGAGCCCUGCUGAUCUGGCUACAAGAGCUUCCAGCACUAUUCCAGUCUUCAUUAACUCAUCACAUACAAUACAAAGAAGUGAAUUGCACUGGAUUAGUCAAAUGUCUGCAUGGAUUUAUAAGGAAUGAGAGAUCCACGCAGAAUGUUCUUGUGGGCUUAAAGAAGAACCUCUGACGAAGCAGAAAGCUAUAAGUUUGAGGGGGAAAAAAGAGAAGAGAGAGGCUGGGUAUAAAAUAGCGACCAUCAACCAUCCCUAAUGUUCAUUAAUGUUCCUGCUGUCAGUGUUGCUAUACCUGAGCUCUGUUGCUGUUCUUUAGAAUGGAGCUCAGCAGCAAAGCUGGGCUGCUGUUGGUUGAUGAAGAGCCUUUCCUCUGAGGGUGUGGAUUCUGAAAAACACCACUAGAAAAAUGCAGGCAUACUUGUAUAUAUGUAUAUAUCCAUGCCAUGCCAACUUGGAUGUGUUUGCCAGUUAUUUGAUUCGGUGUGGGGAGGACUUCAUCCCGUGUCAGUACUCACGGUCUUAAAUGGGAGCACUUUACCCUACUUAUUUGUUUUUUAACUUCUGAAGGAAUGACUGAAAACUCAUCCAAAGGUAAUAACCACAGUCAAAUUCUCAGUCUUCUUUGUCCUCUUGAUGUAAUCUGCCAUUGGUCUGUGUAUUAUCUGUCUUGUAAAAAUGAAAGCUCUCUCAAGAAUGGGUGUUUAAAACAUAAAGAAGAAAUCUAAGUGUUUCUGCUUCAGGAAAUGUACCUGGAGUCAGGCUGGGCAUUGGCUCCCAUCUCAGUCAGAGAGGAGACCCACGAGGUGUCUGCAUCCCUUCUGCUGGGAAUUGGCACUGGUGGUAAAUCAUGAGACAAUGGGUCACUUCUCAUUUGACAAAAGUCCCAGUGUCCAUAAGAAAUUCCACUUUAUUUUGAAGAUUUUUCCCUACGUUUCAAUUGAAAUCCAAACUUUUUAUUGCUUUUCAUGCGCCCUUGCACUGCAGGUGUGGCUCUGUCUUGGAGGUAGAUGCAAUGUGUUGGCUUUUUCUAGGUAAUUGUAGAGUGGUUGGGUUGGAAGGGAUCUUAAAGAUCACCCAGCCCCACUCCCUGCACCUGCAGGGAUGGGGCAUCCCCAGCAUCAAUGGGCAUCCUGUGCCAGUGCGAGCUUCCAUUUUGAAAUUGAAUUAUUUUUUAUAAAUGCAUUAUUAUUUGUGCACAGUUGUUAUUAGCUCUGUACAACCAAACAGGCACAACUGAUGAAAUCCCAGUACCUCUGCCCAGCAGUUAUGUGGGUAAACAUCAGAGGUACAGUGUCACUGUGUUUUCAAAGCCCCGGUGAAGGCAUGGCUGGCACGACAGGCGGAUCCACUUACAGCUUGUCUUAUCACUAUGGGGAGGUUCAACCCAAGUGUUUGAUGCUCAGCAAUGUUUUGUGGAGUUUCCCCAUCUGCGGGUUUGUUCCUGCUCGUGCUCUGUGGUCGUCUGGGUAGGUUUGCUUGGGAAGUGGUAACACAGAUAAUGGGGAGAUGUUUGUAUGAAUGCGGAUAAAAGGCGUCGUGCUAUUUCUGCACCACCUGACCUGCCUCCUCCUCCACGGCUCCUUUUGAUGUUUGCUUUCACGGCGAUUUCUUACAAUGUGAAAUUCAUCCUCAUUUUAAUGGUUUGGGGAUGGUGUGGUUUUUCAGAUGAACAGAACAAGGAUGUAGAGCUCUGAAAGAUUCCUCUGCUCUUUAUCAGCUAUUUCUUUCAAGUACAAAAUGCUUUUUCUUUUCCUUUUUGUUCUGUAAAGGUGGAUUCUUCCCCUGUGCUGUUUACUAAUUAAAAGUUAGUUGGUAAAGAAUAAGCAUAUUGUUCCUGCUACGGUUUGAUCUAUUGUUAUUAGGGCCCUGUGUUGUUACAGAUGAGAUCAAAGAAUUUAAUUUAUGAUGGGUGGAUAGGUCAAGUUCAGUCGUCUGAAGCGAGCGCGGGGUGGAAAGCACAGCUAGGCAGCAGCAGCCCAGGCAAUGAGCUUUUCCUUGUAAAUAAUACAGCCCCACUUUCUCCACUUUUGACUCAAGAAGCUCAGCAGCCCUUUGGGCAUGAACGUCGGAGGACAGAUGGAUGGAGUCUAUGAAGCCCCUUCCGCCUUCCCUUGGGUCAGUACCCACGGGAGAUAAUGUAGUAGCGGAGGAAUCUGAGGCUUGAGAUAAAGUAGAAACCCAAGGACCCCAGCUGUGUUUCAGCCAACCUGAUUCACAGUUCUGCAUCAUGUUUGCAUGUGUGCUGCAAGUUCCUAUGGUAUUUUAACGUGGUUUUGAAAUAUCCCUUGAGCUUGCAGCAAGAACCUCUAAUUAAGACUUAGAGUUGAUGCUGCUAAGUCUUAGUCACACCCUAAUAACAAAAGGGGAACGGGGCAGUGGAACAAAUUUAUUGGGUCUGCUUAUAGUCUCUAGCUGCAAUAUUUUCCUUGAACUCUGCUCAAAGAGGAAUGGGUUGGAUUAUUUCCAUUUCAUCUUUAUUUAUUGCACACCAGCGUGGAGCACUGUUAUGAAACUAAGAAAGACACCCACCUCUCCCCUCUGCCUAUGGAAACCAUGAGGACUGGCUUGACGUGCAAGAUGAGUAACCUGGGAGCAGUUCCUCGGCUCUAUUAUUAGUGUGUGUCUAUGAAUGCGUGGCUAAUACAGCUGCAUACGUGGUUUCUGCUUUCCUUGUAGUCUGACCAAGAGGAGCCUGGAAGCUGGUUUGGGUGGGAACCACAUCUCUUCGUGUUUGGGGAACACUUAGCACAGCACAGACUGGCUGGAGGGCAAGGGAGCUUGGAAUCAGGCUCUCAGCUCCAUCCCUGGGCUUUGCCUCACUGUGUGUCUGUGUAUGGUUCUUGGUCCCAGCAUUGAAGUGAAGGGGUUCCUCGGAUAGGUUGGCAGUGCAGUGACGCAGCAUUGGUGUGACCCAGGGAGGCACCAGGAAGGAGGGAGAUGCUCAUAGAGGAAAAAACCUUGUGCCUGACAUGGUCCCAAACCAACUGGAAACCCUGUGCUGCUCAGGAACAGAUUCAUCUGGCUGUCACGGGAUUGGCAGCAGUAUUUCAGCUGCAGUGGCGCUUACAAUAUUUUCAGUUCCUAGUAAUAUCACCAGUUCCUCAUUCUGCUUUUUUUGGUGAUUCUGCCCGGUCAGAGUGCUAAAGGGAUGGGGAACAGCCUCAUUUUGGCUGCAGUGUCCAGUUCAUGCUUGUGAUUUUCAUCAUCUCUUUGCUUUUGGUUUCUUCAACAUCACCACACUCUGGACUCUGAAUUUGGGUCUUUUUGCUUGCUUAGCUGUGUUCUGGUGUAUUCCCUGGUUUCUUUCUCUAUUUUUCAUCAUGUCCUUAGGACUGCUUUCCUCUCCUUGUCAUAGAAUCAUCAAGGUUGGAGAAGCCCUCUAAGAUCACCUAGUCCAACCAACCUUUAACAUGUCUCAGUUGCCACUCUGUCUGCCAUUCAGCUUGGAAUCUCUAAAAGGGGAGCUGAUGGGUGCUAUCAUGUCUAUCUCUCUGUCUUCAUUGCAUUCACCAUGCCUUCAUUUUCUGGAAUAAAAGUUUCAGCUUUUACUUCUCCUGACUUUACAAUAUAUCAGCUCGGAAAUCAAUCUUCCCUUUCAGUUUAUUUAAUAGUGCUGUCUAAAGUCAUCAGCUAGAAAGCAUUCAGUGGCGAUUACAAGAAAUCUUUUCAAAACCUACUCCCUGCUAUGGCAAGGGAGAGACAAAGAAAAUCUUUUAUAACAUAUUUUUUCUGUCUUAGAAAAAUAAUAGCAGCCCCUUGAGAGGCAUUAGUAACUGUUGAGAACCAAUUUUUAGAUGUAAUAAUUUAUCUUCUUGUUUAUAGAAACUACAAUUAAAUAUUUUUAAAUCUCCAGCAAAUUAUAAUUAGGGAUCUGUGGCCAAAUUUAGAGGGGGAGGAAAAUAAAUUAAAAAAAAAAAGAAAGAAAGAAAGAAAAAAAAGAAUGACUUUAAUGUCUGGGGAUUUGUGUUGUUUGUUUCUGUUGACUAAUAUAUACAGUAAACUGCCUGAGUCCCGAGGUGACUCACGGGCUGUGCAGAUGGUGAGCUUUCCUCCGGGCUCGUUGAGUGAAUUGAGUAGGAAGAGAUGCUGCAUAACCGCCUCCUCUGUCCCCUGUCCCAAAACCGGAGGGUGUGUGAAAACCCCUCCUGCACGUCCAGCUGCAGGAACAUCGGAGUUUCCAGGCAAUUAUAUUCUUGGGAAGCUUGUGCUCUGACCCAAUGUGAGCAAAAUGAAAUUAGUUGGGGUCUUCUGGAGGCUGCCAAGAUGAAAGCCAGGCUUAGGGUGCAAGUCGGUGGGAGAAGAAGGGCUUUCGGAGGAUAAAAUGACCCAAGUGUGGAGUCUCAGAGGGACAGUUCCCACCCAGGAAGGGUAGUGGUGUGAGCAGCAACCCCUUCUUUUCAUUGCCGUGUCGUCUUCACGAAGCUUUGGGAGAAAAGAGGUGUUAAAAACUAGAAAAUAAAAAUACGAGCUCACUCUGGGCGAUGCAUUUUGUUGCUUGCCCCUGCUGCUUUCACAGCUGUGUGUGGGCUGUUUGAGUCUGCCUUUGGGAACCAGGGCAGUCCUUGAGGGAUGCCUGCGGGAGAGGGAGCAGGGACCUCAAAAGGACAAAUUCUUUGUGAAAUGCCCUGGAGAUCUCCUGUAAGCUGAUAGCUGGCUGCUUGAGUGAGGUGCCACAGAGCUCUGUCGCUUCACCCAGCCUCUCUCAGCACUGUCACAGAACGAUAGAAUAAUUAAGGUCGGAAAAGACCACUAAGAUCCUCUGGUCCAACCAUCAACCCAUCAGCCUGUGUUCCGUUACCCAAACUCACAUCUCCUUUAUGCAUUAUUCAAGAAAGUCUUUGUGUUCAUAGUCAUGAACGCCUGUGGGCAUUCCCUGGAAGAAUUCCCUUCAUGCCUGGCACAGUGUGUCCCAAAGUGAUGCUAACCCCUAGAUGUUGAAGAGGAGGAUGACAUCACACAGCUCUGGUUGAAGCCAUCUGCUCAUGGUGCUGAACUGGAAGGUGAGCUCCUGCAGAAACGCGGCCCUCGUUGAGAGUAUUGAGCUUUGCUGAAAGUCCUGACUCUUUUCCACAUUCACAAGGACAGCCUUACAAUGCAAAGCCUCUCCUUGGCAUAAGGACAGAUGCAAGCUUAUAACAGUAUGCACUUAGUUAUAGAGGUAAUUUUAUUUGCCUUUGUUAGAAUCUUUAAUAUAAAACUCAGUAAAAUGACCUCUCUAAUAAAAAUGGCUCAGAGAAAUAACAAUAAACAGGUUUUAUGAUACGGAAGAUGCAUUUAAAAAAUCCUGCUAAGGAAAAUGAUCUUAGGAGUCUCAAGAAAAUAUUAAUAUGAAAGGAGAGACUUUUUCCCUAUCCGCUACAAUCAAAGAUGGGUGGUCUGCAUGCCACGUGAGCUUCCUUGCUCCAGCUCUUGUGGGCAGGAGGAGGGGAAGCUGUACUCUAUCUCAGUAAUGAACUCUGACUGUCCAGGAAAGCAUUUAUUUUUGCAAAAUUAAAAAGGGGGGGAGUCAAUGGAUCUGUUUAUAGCUAUAUAAAAAGGCAGAAAAGUUAAUGCUAACAUAUGUUGCUUCAUGUUCCCAGAGCAAAAACAUUUGCAGGAUAAUAUCCCGGAGCGCAGGUGGUAAGCGAUCAAUACUCUUAUUUGUUUUUAAGGGAUGGCAGAACUGCUCACCUAUAGGAGUUGCAGUGAAUGCGUAGAACCCCUACGGACACAUGGCAUUAAUGUACGGGUGUUGUAGGCGUUUUAUUACAUAGACUUCAGGAGUUGGCACUCAGCUACCAGGAUCUCUAUAGCUUUUGUUCAGUGGGAGGUGUCCAUACCAAGCACAGUUCUAGAUCCUAAUGGGGUGGAAGGACAUGUGCCACAGGGGAAUCCAUGGAAAAUUGAAUCAUGGUCGUGUCUUCUGCUGGCUGAGCAGGUUUCUUCUGUUAUCUAGCAUGAAUCACAUCCAAUUCCAGUGUCACAUCUCUAGAAAAUGAUGAAAAUGCUUUCUUUCUCCUGCUUAUUGAUACAGGAUGUUUAGGUCAGGAAUAGACUCCUGGCCUGAGCUUUUAGACUGCAUGGCCCCAGAGCUGCAAACUCAUGUAGCUAACCAUGCACUACCACUAUGAUGAUAUCCAGAGAUGUCAUCUCUCUUUACGGAUCUACACAGACUGUAGAUUUUUCUUCAGGGAUACAUGCCCCUAGAGAUAAAUCUUCCUCUCUUUAAUCCAAAACAUCCAACUGGCAAUUACUUGCAUCUCACAAAGAUUUCACUGGAAGUGACCUUUGGUGGUUUUGGGACAAAACGUGAACCUUUCAUCUUUCCCGUGGCUGUAAGUGAUCAGAUAGAGGCAAAACCCUAUUUCCUGCCUUCCCAUACCUGCUGAGAGGGAGCCGGGGGGCUGCUGGUGUGAGAUCACCAUCUUUCAGAGGACAGCAAAAUGCUUUAUGAAGACUGUGAUCUAAAUACAGAUGAGAUAGCUGGCAAGGCUCCAGCUAUUGCUUCAGGACCUUGUAUAUCUUCUCUGCCUUCAGGACCCAGGUGUUGCCAGUUACCGCCAGUAUUCCUGACGUCAGAUAUGGUUUCUUCCAUUCAUGAGGCCAACGGAACAGUUGACCACAAAGAGUCUAACCCUAGGUGUUUUGUUUGAGAGACAUGUAGUACUUUUUUUCCAUAGAGAGGGAAGGUACUUUGUGCUCACUGUACUGGGCCUUCAGUUCGCUUUCUCAUUCAGACCAGGGCCAGGUAAGCCAAGAUAAACUGGGAACUCUGGAAGUGUAGGCCCUCUUCUUCCCAUUGUCCCCAGACUAGAAGAUGGUCUGGUGGUUCAAGCUGGGUUAUGCUGGGCCCCUGCCUGCUUUUUCUUGGACUUGUGCAUAUUAAUGUUUCCAUCGAGCACUUUGAUCAUUGGCAAACUGUUCUCUGCCAGCAUUGUUCCAUCAGAGAGUUUGAAAGCUCAUCUUGAGAGAAGAUUAACUAAUAAUCAGUGAUGCUUUUGUUACAUGCAUUCCCACAAGACCCACUGCUGGUGACUUGACUGAAAACAUGAAUGAAUUGAGCUUUACUCCACGUCUGCGAGUUAGAGAAAUAUGUCAUUUUAACUUUUUCAGUAACAUAAGCAGUUUUUCAGAACAUUAAACUCACUGGACACAACACAACUAGAGAGUUUUGCUGUUUUCCUCCAGCUGCUAACAGAGCUAAAUGUUUUCCCAGUGUAAAUAGCAGGGCCAUGGAUGGGGUCAGCUCCCCUCCAGCCCCACUCUGUGUCAUGGCCGUGCAAACGCCACCUGAGCAAUUCUCCUUGGACUGCAUUGUAGUAAAGAACAUCGGGAAAAUGAUUCCAAAAUUGAAGGCUAUCCUGAUGUCUUUACUAGCAAUAUCUGUUUUUAAAUUGAGUGAGCUCUGGCUUGUGUCUCUAUCUGUUCCAGCUGCAGAAUUAUGGCUGGAGGACAGAGGCACUCUCCUGGGUGUGAAAUAUUGCAAGGAGGGAGUGCAUUCCGAACACAGGGGUGGCCUGGCAGAGGAGGGUACCAUGGAGAAGUGGUUAGACCCAGAAAGAAGCUGAACGUUAGAUCUGCAAACACGUUUCAAGUUCUCUGGUUUUGAGAAAACUUCCUAGGGUUUUAAUUCAUCGUUUCUCUUGUUUUUGCAGCAAGAACAACUGUGGUUACCUCACUGCUCUGGCUCUGUGCUGACAGAGGGCACUGGGGAGAGAUCUAUCACUGCUGAUGUUGAGGCUUUGCCGAUAACCUCUGCCCGGGGCUGGGUGAAGCUACAAACGCUGCCCAGUCUUCGGAGGUGGGAGAGUGCUUUCUUCUCUGCUUGAUGUAUUUCUUUAAUGCGUGUUGAUGCUGUAUGUUAUUAAAAUCCAUUACCUCCUUCAUUUAUUUCCUUUCCUCUGGACUCAAUUAUCUUGUGUUUCUGUUUUUGGAAAAGUAGGUCGAAGCAGAUACAUGAGAAAUAAUAUCCAAUCUGUAUUUCUUAAGGUACAGGACCAGUCUGUCAGGCUGUUGGCACACAACAACAAUUGUUUUAUUGUCAGAGUAAGUAAAUAAGAACAAGAAGUCUUAAGUAUUGGCAUAUGUUGAUACGUGGCCAAAAAGGUCUCUAAACAA